rnacentral:lncRNA from 1 species
AAGCAAAACACGCAACAAAACUCACGUGGAUUAUUAAUAAUUACUUUUCUUACCAAAGCCAUACGGGUCGGAAGUCGUGCUAAUAACAAUCUCCAUCCAAAUAUGUUCACUUUAGACGGUACAUCGUUCACCGAUAAAUUUUACAGCGCAUCCACCACAUUACUAUUAAUAGUCAAAAAUGAAUCACGGUUUUGCAAGAAACAAUAUGUUGAUUUUACAGUAAACAUACCGGCAUGGUUCAUGAGCCAUUUUCGAUGAUCCAAGCAUUCCUUCUUA